rnacentral:rRNA from 1 species
UACAGAGGGUGCGAGCGUUGUUCGGAAUUAUUGGGCGUAAAGGCGCGUAGGCGGCGCCACAAGUCACUUGUGAAAACUCUGGCUCAACUCAGAGCCUGCAAGCGAAACUGUGGUGCUGGAGUAUGGGAGAGGUGCGUGGAAUUCCGGUGUAGCGGUGAAAUGCGUAGAUAUCGGGAGGAACACCCUGUGGCGAAAGCGGCGCACUGGACCAUAACUGACGCUGAGGCGCGAAAGCUAGGGGAGCAAACAGG